rnacentral:rRNA from 1 species
AUUGAACGCUGGCGGCAGGCCUAACACAUGCAAGUCGAACGAGUGGCGGAUGGGUGAGUAAUGUCUGGGAAACUGCCCGAUGGAGGGGGAUAACUACUGGAAACGGUAGCUAAUACCGCAUACCAUCGGAUCUGCCCAGAUGGGAUUAGCUAGUAGGUGGGGUAACGGCUCACCUAGGCGACGAUCCCUAGCUGGUCUGAGAGGAUGACCAGCCGAACGGGAGCUGAGACGCGGUCCAGACUCCUACGGGAGGCAGCAGUGGAGAAGUUGGCACAAUGGUCGCAAGCCUGAUGCAGCCAUGCCGCGUGUAUGAAGAAGGCCUUCGGGUUGUAGAGUACUUUCAGCGAGAAGGCGUUACUCGCAGAAGAAGCACCGGCUGACUCCGUGCCAGCAGCCGCGGUAAUAC